UACGUAGGGGGCAAGCGUUGUCCGGAAUUAUUGGGCGUAAAGCGCGCGCAGGCGGUUCCUUAAGUCUGAUGUGAAAGCCCACGGCUCAACCGUGGAGGGUCAUUGGAAACUGGGGAACUGGAAUGCAGAAGAGGAGAGUGGAAUUCCACGUGUAGCGGUGAAAUGCGUAGAUAUGUGGAGGAACACCAGUGGCGAAGGCGGCUCUCUGGUCUGUUAUUGACGCUGAGGCGCGAAAGCGUGGGGAGCAAACAGGAUUAGAAACCCCUGUAGUCC
rnacentral:rRNA from 1 species